GUGCUCACUUUGGUAGCACAUAUAUUGAAAUUAGAAUGAUACAGAGAAGAUUAGUAUGGCCCCUGUGAAAGGAUGACAAGCAAAUUCAUGAAGCAUUCCAUAUUUUU